rnacentral:rRNA from 1 species
UACGACGGGUGCAAGCGUUACUCGGAAUUACUGGGCGUAAAGCGUGCUUCGGCGGUUUGUUAAGUCCGUUGUGAAAGCCCUGGGCUCAACCUGGGAAUUGCAGUGGAUACUGGCGAGCUAGAGUGCGGUAGAGGAUGGUGGAAUUCCCGGUGUAGCGGUGAAAUGCGUAGAUAUCGGAAGGAACAUCAGUGGCGAAGGCGGCUAUCUGGACAACAACUGACACUGAGGCACGAAAGCGUGGGGAGCAAACAGG